rnacentral:lncRNA from 1 species
AAAUCAUGUUUGCAUGUGACUCUGGACUUUUAGUGUUAAUCUCUUUUUCUAUAGUAAACAACUCUUUUAUUUGAUCUGUGUGCUUUAAAAAUGAGAAAAUUCUUCUUUCAAAAGGUUUUCACCAACCAAGUGAUUGAUUCUGAAAUCACUUUAAUAAGGCUAAUGAUUUGUCACUGAUUUUUUCGAUUGAACCUCCUUUACUCUAUUGGUUGUUUAGUUGUUCUUUUUGUGUAAAAAUCCCAUGCUUGUGAUGUUUUCCUUAAAUACAUGAUCUUGUGUAUUCCUUCUAUAAUGUUGUACCAAUUUUAAAUUAUUUUUAUAUUUAUGUGACUCUUUCCUUAGUUACUUUGGAUUCCCUGUGAUUACAAUUGGAUCCAGGAUCCUCUUGGUUGAUAUUUGAACUGAUGCCCUAUAUUUUACUUUAUAAAUGCACUGUUAUUUAGACUUUCCUUAAUUACCCACUGCAUAUUUGGCCUUUUUUAUGCACUAUGUGGUUUCUUUACCCUAAUCAGCCUUACUGAACUGAUUUCUUUUCCUUAUUCUGCCUUGAUUAACCGUUUAAACUAGACUCCUAUGUAUUUACUUUACAGUUUUAGCUUGUUUACUUUACUGCUCAUGUUUAGUGAUUUGUGCUAAUUAUGUUCCUUUCUUGCUUUUGUUUUUAUUAUGAAUCCCUACCCCUAUUCCCUUAUAUAUGCUUGAGUUAAGGUCUUGGCCUAUCAGUAUCCUAAUUACUGCCCAGGCCAUAACCUGAUCCACACUGGAUCCUAACUCCUAAGUUUUGUGCCAGCAUUCCCAAUUGGUGGGCAUGACCACCAGCCUUCUAUGGCUCUCCGUGAACCCCCUAUACGCUUAUACUUAUUUUAAGACUCUUAAGUUCUGAGCCUCUCUAAUGAGCCUUGCUUGGGGAUCUUGAGUUCCCUCUAAACUUGGACAUCUGAG